CCAGUUUACUAGAUAUUGAAGGAGGAAGGGAAAAGAGUUUGUGCUAACUCAUUUGACCUUGGAAUUGAAUCCUUACUUUAUGUUUUCUCCAGGGAAGACGUAUUCUGAAGAACACGGAGAUAAACUGUGAUAAGAGCUCAUCAGCCCAGGAUUUGGGUGAGGUAGAUUCUGGCCUCCAUUGUGAUGUUAACUGGAAUACACAACGUUAUCUUCAUCUGCAUCCACUUUUAACUUCUCCAAGCCGAGGUGGAGAGGACACGACACACCCUGGAAGGAGGACGUCUUCACAUUUCAAGUCACUGUGGCCAGUUCUGGCCCCAGAACCACCAGGCACUGGGAGGAUCAGAGCAGACGUCAGAGACGUCUCAUGCUUCCAGACCCUGCCAUUCCCAUCUCCUUCUUUGUUGCAAUAGAGCAGACUUCUGGAAUUGGCAGUAAACUGGCAUUUGCUCUCCUAGUGUAAAAGAAAAUCUGCUUCAGAGAACAAGUAGCAAAUUCCCCAAAACAAACACUUAUAAUUAAGUAGUGUGUGUGUGUCUUGGUUAUAGGCCACCAGCAAUGAAAGGGCAUAGCCUGGUGUGAAUUUGCAUUUGAAUUCUUACCAAGGAGGCAGGCCCAGCAAACCAAUUAACCAAUUAAAUCAAUUAACCAAAUAUGUAAUUAACCUUGAGAACAGAAGUGUCAACAACAGAAGCACAACAAAGAAAGUAGCUUCCUCUUGGAAUUGUCUACUGGGUUUAAGCCUUUUAGUUUUCUGUCUUAAAGGCGUAGCCGCAGAGGGAAAACAUUGUCUGGGCAUAAGACCAGUGGCCACGCAAUGUCAUCCUAUGGACUGGCUGGAAUCCAACCAGGGGCAGUGUUUCCCACCUGUUCCGGCCCAUCGUCUGUAAGUAAAUACACAGGAGUUUUGGAGGACGUGGUCCAUGAAACACUGGCCCAUUCAUAGUCAUUCCUUAUGGAAACACACACGUCCACUAUUAAGAAAAGGGGACUAGCCAGAAAUUUCCAAGACAGAUCCUCCCUUGGAGAUGACAAUACCUGGUAAUUCAGACAAUUGAUUCUAAGACAAAAGGGACCGAGAAAGGAAUGGCAGCGUCUGCUAAACACAGUUAUGCGAGGCUGUUGUUUGGACUGAGCUCCGACUCUGGGCCCCAGCAAUUAGCCUGAGUAACCAGUAUGGAGUCACUCAGGCUAAUUGCCACGAGAUCUGAAUGAACUCUGAAACAGGCCAGUUUUCCCAAAACAGAAGAUACACAACAACCAGUCGAAAGGAGCCUAGUGUACCAGAGCCUGAGUGACGAGGAAGUUCCCCUCUGUUUUAACCAUCUGUAGGGAAAGUAAAUUUGAAAUGAUCGAUCCACUUUUUGUCCCUUAUUUCUGCUCUCUUCAGCCUUUUUGUGCCUAUAAAGCAAACCUCCUCUGCUCCACCCAUCAGAACACUUACUCUACCAUAUAGAAGGAGGUGCUGCCCGUUCUAGCAUCACACAUAAAAGGCAGUUUGAUCUUUAAAGUGGUUGUAAUUUCACCUUUUGACAGCUUUAUUUUAUAGAGGUUUAAUCUGUACACAGAAAUCCCUGGGAAAGAGGAACUUGUGUGGCUAUAGGAAUUCUGUACUGCUCUGUGCAAUUCUGACACGUGGAAAUUUAUCAUUAUCAAGACAAUACAUUAACGCCUUGACGUAAUGACUUUUCAGUAGCUCACCUUAUAAAAUUUUAGUUUUCAAGUAGCUUCAGAAAUGUUACUUAGAAUUAAUGAUGUGAAAAACACUAAGCUAGGCCUGAUGCCUUCGUGUAGCUUUCAUUUAGAGGUGGGGUGAAAUUCACUCAGAAAAAAAAUAAUAACCAACAAAGAGUUAUAUGUUAAACAGCAAAAAGAAAAUAAUACAGACCAGAAGCAAAUAUUUAUUGACCGAGUAAGGGAGACUGACUUAGACCAUUACUCACAUCAUUUCAGAAAAGCCGAAAUCACAAAGGAGAGGUAACACGAUCAAAUCAUUAACAGGGAAGCAAAAGCAAGUACACCAGGAACCUGGAGUCUUAUCAGGAAAAUAAAUAUGUAUGUGAAAUCUCAUACGGGAUUUUCCUAUUGCUUUCCUAUAAAAGAUGUGGUUUCCGAUGUUGACCUGGGGCAAAAUCAAAGCUCACCUGGGCUAAGUCAGCACACAGUUCCUAAUCCUUAAGUAAAAAGAUACACUUGUGAACAGUAACGCUCAGUCAAGCUCCCAGCCUCUCCACCUCAUCAGGGAGUUAACGUGCAUUUUAUAACCGGGCCAGGAUGUUUGAAGAAUCGCAUUCCAUUCACUAAAAACCCAGGGAUCUCAUUCCCAUCCCAAAUGCAGGGCAAGCCCUCAGUGUUGUUUCAGUUAACCUCGCUGGGCCUCAGUUUCCUCGUCUGAAAAAGGAAGGGACUUUGGAAUAGGAAAUCUCUACGAUCCCUCUCAUGAUUCGAAUAGACUAUUUUUCUUUUCCACCAACAGAGGAAGGGACUUUUUGACAGCCAACAUUUCCAUUCCUACUAUUUUGGAACAACCAGAACACUGAAAAUUUGGUACGAAAAGCUUUUAUUACGAUAAAGAGAUAGCAUUUCUUUGAGAACAGUUGCUGAAACUUUAGUCAGGGAACUUAUCAAAUAAAGAAACCACCUCAUUUCAGACUAUGGGCUGAGUCCAACAAAGUCAAACCCAAUACCUCCCAGGAAUUUAGAAUUACACAGUUGUUGAUCAAGUGGAGAGAAAAGAAUGUGAAUUUGUUUUUUCAAGAUUCUCCAACACCAUAUGAACUGUGGCUGCCUUUUCUUUAAAUCAUAUAAUGGAAGAAACAAACUUCUAGAAAAAGAUAUGUAUCAUCUCCUCCAAGUGGUGACUGGUCCCUGAUCAAUGUGCUGUGGUUUACCUUGCCUUGAACCCAAAACAAUCCCUUGUCCUCACAGAGCCUUGGGGAUGUCUGGAUGUCUGAUUCAGGAGGCUGAAUUCCUAUUCUAAGAUGCUUCAUACAAAUUGUAUUCUGUCUACAUCUGUGCAAGUUAAGUGUGUUAGUACUGACGUGGCAUGGAUUUAAUCAUUGUAAUGUUUGAUAGACUGAUAAUAUAUGAUGUUAAUGUUAAAUAUUAAAUGUAAUAAUGGGUUUUGUUUGUUUGUUUUUUGAGACAGAGUUUUGCUCUUGUUGCCCAGGCUGGAGUGCAGUGGCACGAUCUCGGCUUGCUGCAACCUCCACCUCCCGGGUCCAAGUGAUUCUCCUGCCUCAGCCUCCCGAGUAGCUAGGAUAACAGGCACCUGCCCCUAUGCUUGGCUAAUUUUUUUUUGUAUUUUUAGUAUACAUGGGGUUUCACCAUGUUGGCCAGGCUGGUUUUGAACUCCUAGCCUCAAGCUAUCCACCCAUCUUGGCCUCUCAAAAUUCUAGGAUUACAGGCGUGAACCACCGUGCCUGGCCUAAAUGCAAUGUUUAAAAUAAGAGUACAAUGUUAAUGUUAAAAUGUUUUCUUAAAUGCUUUUUUUUUUUUUUUUUUUUUUUUUUGAGAUAGGGUCUUUGUCCCCCAGGCUGGAGUGCAGCAGCAGCAAUCACAGCUCACUGCAGCCUUGAAAUCCUGGGCUCAAGCGAUCCUCCCACCUCAGCCUUCAACAUUGCUGGAAUUACAGGAGUGAGCCACCACACUCUGCCAGAUAAUACUUUUUCAAUGGAAACAAAAACUAGAAAUAAAGUAUUCUAAGCCUUUUGCAAGAGAGGAGUCACUAGGAUGGGAUUAUGUCCGGAGUUGGUUCCUUAGGGUGGGUUCAUGGUCUCUCUGACUUCAAGAAUGGAGCCACGGACCUCUGUGGUGAAUGUUAUAGCUCUUAAAGAUGGCACAAACCCAAAGAGUGAGCAGCAGCAAGAUUUAUCGUGAAGAGUGCAAGAACAAAACCUCCACAGCAUGGAAAGGGACCCCAGUGGGUUGCUGCUGCUGGCUGGGGGGGGUGGCCGGCUUUUAUGCCCUUAUUUGUCCCCACCCAUAUCCUGCUGAU
ensembl:lincRNA